UACCGACGAUAUACUCCGGGGAGUUGGAAGCAAACUAAGAGCCGGAGGUUUCCGAAUGGGGCAACCCUAAAUACUACCUGCUGAAUAUAUAGGCAGGAAAGAGCCAACCCAGCGAACUGAAACAUCUUAGUAGCUGGAGGAAAAGAAAUCAAAAGAGAUUCCCUAAGUAGUGGUGAGCGAAAGGGGAAAAGCCUAAACCAAAAGAUUUAUCUUUUGGGGUAGUGGGACAGCAAUAUCGAAUCUGGCAGUUAGACGAAGCAGCUAAAUACUGCACCAAAGAAGGUGAAAGUCCUGUAGUCGAAAACUCAAGGAUAGUAGCUGAAUCCCGAGUAGCAUGGGGCACGAGGAAUCCCAUGUGAAUCAGCGAGGACCAUCUCGUAAGGCUAAAUACUACUGUGUGACCGAUAGUGAACCAGUACCGCGAGGGAAAGGUGAAAAGAACCCCGGAAGGGGAGUGAAAUAGAACAUGAAACCGUAAGCUUACAAGCAGUGGGAGUCCGAUUCAACGGAUGACCGCGUGCCUGUUGAAGAAUGAGCCGGCGACUUAUAGGCACUGGUAGGUUAAGGCGAGAAUGCCGGAGCCAAAGGGAAACCGAGUCUGAAAAGGGCGAUAAAUCAGUGUUUAUAGACCCGAACCCUGGUGAUCUAACCAUGGCCAGGAUGAAGCUUGGGUAACACCAAGUGGAGGUCCGAACCGACUGAUGUUGAAAAAUCAGCGGAUGAGCUGUGGUUAGGGGUGAAAUGCCAAUCGAACCAGGAGCUAGCUGGUUCUCCCCGAAAUGUGUUUAGGCGCAGCGGUAAUGAAUAUAUCUGGGGGGUAAAGCACUGUUUCGGUGCGGGCUGGGAGACCGGUACCAAAUCGAGACAAACUCAGAAUACCCAGAGAACACAUUGCCAGUGAGACAGUGGGGGAUAAGCUUCAUUGUCAAGAGGGAAACAGCCCAGACCACCAGCUAAGGUCCCCAAAUCAUCACUAAGUGAUAAAGGAGGUGGGAUUGCAUAGACAACUAGGAGGUUUGCCUAGAAGCAGCCA
rnacentral:rRNA from 1 species